AAUAGAAGAAAAUACAAAGUAAAAAGAUAACGAACGAAAUAAAGUAAUUGAACAUUAUGGUGAACAUACCUGGAAGAGGAUAGCAAGAUAUCUUCCUGUAGGGUCCCACUCCAUUGCAGUUAUUCUUCCACCGACAGUAACAUAACUGUCAUCGUUGUCCAACGAAAAAUUAACUCUUGUUAAAUCUAUCAGAGAGGUAAAGAAAAGAUUGUGGCAGGAUCUUCGUUCGAUGCAAACAACAGAGUCAAAUUAGGACCGAAACACGCAACAGCCACACGACCAUUAGGCACUGUCCAUUUAUC